GUCUGAAGGACCAGUUAAAACUGCAGUCAGCUGCAAAUGAUGACACAAAACAAAAGGUUUAGCUGCAUCCUGUAUGUAGCCUACUUCGUUCUUAUACACUGUACCUGGGAAAAUGAUGAUGAUCAACUGAAUAGAGGAAUGAGCAAGUGGUGAAUUCACGACUUUUGUCAUUGGGAGAGAGUCGUUGGAGCUAUUGCUCAGUGGAGGCCAUCUCAGGUCAAUUGCUCGGAUUCGAGACUAGGGGGAGAGCUAUAGUGUUCUCUACAGUAUUCUCUACAGUGGUCUGUAACUUUACUUCUCCGGGAAGAUGUAUUUCCCUUAGACGCAAGUAAGGUGUAUCUAAUCCUAAAUGGGGACAAAGGAGCUAAUUCAAGUAUUUGGACUAUUGAUCAAAAAAUAAUCAUUGC